AUUGAACGCUGGCGGAAUGCUUUACACAUGCAAGUCGAACGGUAGAGGGGGCAACCCCUCGAGAGUGGCGAACGGGUGAGUAAUAUAUCGGAACGUGCCCAGUCGUGGGGGAUAACGUAGCGAAAGUUACGCUAAUACCGCAUACGAUCUACGGAUGAAAGCGGGGGAUCGCAAGACCUCGCGCGAUUGGAGCGGCCGAUAUCAGAUUAGGUAGUUGGUGGGGUAAAGGCUCACCAAGCCAACGAUCUGUAGCUGGUCUGAGAGGACGACCAGCCACACUGGAACUGAGACACGGUCCAGACUCCUACGGGAGGCAGCAGUGGGGAAUUUUGGACAAUGGGCGCAAGCCUGAUCCAGCCAUGCCGCGUGAGUGAAGAAGGCCUUCGGGUUGUAAAGCUC
rnacentral:rRNA from 1 species